UUUAUACAUCAUCCCUCAGUCACUCACACCUUUUCCCCAGCUGAAGAAGAAGGAAAGCAAUGGCCCCUAUUUCUUUGAAUUCCCAUUCCUUUCUCUCUCAUCCCACAUUUUCUCUCUCCCCCUCCCCUCUACGCCAAGGGCAAAAGAGGAACAAGAACUCCAGUUUCAUCUUCUGCUGCAACAAUGGCGUCGAUCACCACCAAACCCCACGUGUGAGCAUUGUAGAUGAAUGUGGGACUAGGAGAAAGCUGCUAUUUCAGGCAGUUUGUGCCACGUUUGCUUUUCCUGCACUUGCUUCGGCAGCCGAAACCCAAUUACCAGAGGAUUUCCGUGUUUACACGGACGAUGUGAACAAGUUUAAGAUCAAUAUUCCUCAAGAUUGGCAAGUCGGAAACGGAGCAGGCGAUGGAGUAAGGUCACUAACUGCCUUUUAUCCUCCAGAAGCUUCCAGCUCAAACGUGAGUUUAGCAAUCACGAGCCUCGGUGCCGAUUUCACGAGAUUGGAGUCUUUUGGUAAAGUCGAUGCAUUUGCAGAAACUCUAAUUGGAGGAUUAGAUAGAAGUUGGCAGAGGCCGCCUGGUGUUGCGGCGAAACUCAUAGACACCAAAGCUUCCAACGGAUUUUAUUAUAUCGAGUACACGCUGAAAAGUCCGGGAGAAAGUCGAAGACAUUUGUUUUCGGUGCUCGGUGUAGCAAAUAAUGGUACCUACAACAGAUUAUAUACACUCACUGGGCAGUUUGUCGAUGAAGACGAAGAAAAACUUGGACCCAAAAUUAAGAAAGCUGUUUCAUCAUUCAGAUUGAUGUGAAGGUUCGUGGAGAAUGGUUUUAGUCGAAGGCUUUUAAUUUAUGUUCAUUGGAAAUUGAAAAGUUUGGAUCCAUAUUUUGAGAAUUACCGUGUUUUCUCAGGUCGAUGAUGCCAACAUGAAGAAAGACACUAAACUUCGGACAGGUGUAAUUUGAGUUAUUUUAUGCACCUAUAUUUGUACGAGAGGUCGACGAUUUUCACAAUUUUUGUCAACUAUUUCUUGGUUGUUUAUGGAUAAACAUCUUUUAUACCAUAUAUUUUACUGUUACAAAAUAUAAAAAUAAAGAGAUAUGUGCAUUUCAA